CAUAGGCUCAAAAUAAAAGGAUGGAGGAAGAUCUACCAAGCAAAUGGAAAACAAAAAAAGGCAGGGGUUGCAAUCCUAGUCUCUGACAAAACAAAGUCCUUGAUUUUAGGGAUCUUAAGUGAGUAGACAGGAAGUUGCAUUUGCUACCUGAAUCUUUUUAUCUUUUUCAGGCAGAGGAGCUGAGCAGCUAAUUGGAGGGGACAGUAUGAGCCUCCAAAGAUUAGGGAAGAAAAGUGCAGUUGAAGAAAACUUCCUUUGGUUCAAUGCAAAAAUAACGGAACGAAUGGCAUGCUGAAAUAUCAUAUGACUUACGAAAGUGAUGAAUGGACACUGAAUUGGAGCCAGCUGAUGUAAGGAGCUUACCUUGGUUGUCACCUUCUGGUCUCUGUUUGAGGACCAACUGCAUAUGAUUAAGGGUGAAGAAACUGAGACCCCAAGAAUUUAAGUAAUUUGUUCAAGGCAACACACUGCUAUGUGGUAGAACUACAAAUUAAGCCCAAAUAAUCCAGCUUCAGAUACUAUGCAAAGGUAUCCUAGGUGUGGGGGUGAUAACCUGGUGACAAUCCCUUCUCAGAAGGAAGAGAGGUCCCAUCUACAGAGGUGAAGCAAAGAGUGUGGAACUAAAAAACUCAAUGGAAGAAUGGCUAUUAAGAUUUAGGAUGGCUGGGAAAUAAUAAAGUAAUAAUAAUAAUACUAGGUAUUGACGUGUGCUACAUGCCAGGCCUUGGGUGACAUUUGGAUUGAUUCUCAUUUUCUUUACUUCUCGGCAAUGGGGUCUUUCACCUUUCAAGCUCUGCCUGAGAAGUCAACAUGGUGGCAUUUGGCUAGGUUCUUUUAGGCAACGGAAAAAAUAAAACCCAUUUAUCUAGCUUAUAUAUUUUUAAGUUUUUACUAUGGAAUACAGCAUGCAUAAAUAGUGAAUGCACAUGAAUAUGUGUAAUGUGUGUAUAUACUCUUUAAAUAAUAAUUAUUGAACACCCAUAAAUUCAUUACUAAUAUGUUGGAUCGGGGCUUGGCAGAUUUAUGGGCCUCAGGCCACAUCCAGCCCACGGCCUGUUUUUGUAAAUAAAACUUUAUUGGGACUCAGCCAUGGCCAUUUAUUUACAUAUUAUCUGUCUUGCUUUCUUGUUACAACAGCAAAAUUGAGUAGUUGCAACAGAGACAUAUGGCCCACAAAGCCAAAAAUAGAUACUGUCUGGCCCUUUAUAGAAAGCAUUUGCAGACUUCUGCCCUAGAUAUCUCUUCUUGAUCCCAUUCCCUCUUCCAUCGCCAGGGGCAGCCACUCCCCUAUACUCUGUACCAAUCUUUCCUUUUAAGAAAAUUAAUUGUUUAGUUUCACAUAUUUGACUCUAAUAUAAAUAAAAUUAUGGGCAAUUUGUUCUUUAUGUUUUUGAGAUUCAUCAAUUUGAUGUAUAUGGCUGAAGUUCAUUGGCUUUUAUUGCUGUUUGAGAGUCUAUUACAUGAGACUGUCUCUGUUCAUUCAGUCUAUUGUUUGAUGGUUAUUUUUGCUGUUUCUAGUUUUCUGCUAUUUUGAAUAAAUCUAUAGAAACAUUCUUAGUAUGACCUCUGGUGAACAUGUACACGAUAUUCACUGGUAUACUUCCUGGAAUUGCUGAGUGAAAGAGGAUGUGCAUAUUUACAUACCAAAUGUGAAUGCCCUAUCUGAACUAUUUUACAAGUGGUUGAACCAAGUUAUCUUUUCACCUGCAUUGUAUGAGAGUUUCUCUAACUCUAUAACCUCACUAACACUUACUGCCUAACUUUCUAAAUGUUUGCCAAUCUGGGAUGUGAGAAAUGGUAUCUCAUUAGAUUUUAGUGUUUGUUUCCCUUAGGAAUAUAAUCUGCCACUUUCUGUUUAUAAGCCACUCAUAUUUCUUUUUCUGUGAAAUAGCUGUUUAUGUCUUUUCCCGUUUCUCUGUUUUUGCCUAAUAUUAAUUUAUGUAAACUUGUUUUACAUUCUGGAUAUAAGAUUAUUGUCAAUAAUUUUUGCGAUGUAUGUCCUUUUCCAGCUUUGGCUUCUCUUAUCAUUUUCUUGUGGUCACGUUUUGAUUGACAGACUUUUAAAAAUAUAUGUAAUCUAUAAACUAAAGAGCUUCUGCACAACCAAAGAAACUAUCAUCAGAGUGAACAGGCAACCUACAGAAUGGGAGAAAAUUUUUGCAAUCUAUCCACUUGACAAAGGGCUAAUAUCCAGAAUCUACAAAUAACUUAAACAAAUUUACAAGAAAAGGAUUCCCUAUUUAAUAAAUGGUGCUGGGAAAACUGGCUAGCCAUAUGUAGAAAGCUGAAACUGGAUCCCUUCCUUACACCUUAUACAAAAAUUAAUUCAAGAUGGAUUAAAGACUUAAACGUUAGACCUAAAACCAUAAAAACCCUAGAAGAAAACCUAGGCAGUACCAUUCAGGACAUAGGCAUGGGCAAGGACUUCAUGUCUAAAACACCAAAAGCAAUGGCAACAAAAGCCAAAAUCGACAAAUGGGAUCUAAUUAAACUAAAGAGCUUCUGCACAGCAAAAGAAACUAUCAUCAGAGUGAACAGGCAACCUACAAAAUGGGAGAAAGUUUUUGCAACCUACUCAUCUGACAAAGGGCUAAUAUCCAGAAUCUACAAUGAACUCAAACAAAUUUACAAGAAAAAAACAAACAACCCCAUCAAAAAGUGGGCAAAGGAUAUGAACAGACACUUCUCAAAAGAAGACAUUUAUGCAGCCAAAAGACACAUGAAAAAAUGCUCAUCAUCACUGGCCAUCAGAGAAAUGCAAAUCAAAACCACAGUGAGAUACCAUCUCACACCUGUUAGAAUGGCAAUCAUUAAAAAGUCAGGAAACAACAGGUGCUGGAGAGGAUGUGGAGAAAUAGGAACACUUUUACACUGUUGGUGGGACUGGAAAGUAAUUCAACCAUUGUGGAAGUCAGUGUGGCGAUU